UGGACAAAUUAUUGUAUUCGACUGUAUUCACGGCAUGAAAUAGGGGAUUAUACUGUUUUUAAAAUGGAAAGUGAAUCAAUUAACAUAAUAGACUCCU
rnacentral:pre_miRNA from 1 species